CCUACGGGAGGCAGCAGUGAGGAAUAUUGGUCAAUGGGCGCGAGCCUGAACCAGCCAAGUAGCGUGAAUGAUGACUGCCCUACGGUUUUUAAACUUCUUUUAUAAAGGAAUAAAGUGAGGCACGUGUGCCUUUUUGUAUUUACUUUAUGAAUAAGGAUCGGCUAACUCCGUGCCAGCAGCCGCGGUAAUACGGAGGAUCCGAUCGUUAUCCGGAUUUAUUGGGUUUAAAGGGAGCGUAGAUGGGUUGUUAAGUCAGUUGUGAAAGCUUGCGGCUCAACCGUAAAAUUGCAAUUGAUACUGGCAGGCUUGAGUAUAGUUGAGGUAGGCGGAAUUCGUGGUGUAGCGGUGAAAUGCUUAGAUAUCACGAAGAACUCCGAUUGCGAAGGCAGCUUACUAAACUGCCACUGACAUUGAUGCUCGAAAGUGUGGGUAUCAAACAGGAUUAGAUACCCCAGUAGUC
rnacentral:rRNA from 1 species